rnacentral:lncRNA from 1 species
GGUUGCUGGGGGUGAAUCGCUCGCCGGAGACGGGGUCGACGAAGUAGUUGUUGAUGAUGCCGUGGGAGGCCGGGUAGAGGCCCGUGGCGAUGGCGUAGUGGUUGGGGAAGGUGAGGGAGGGGAAAACGGGGAUGAGCCCCGUCUCGGCCUCCGUUCCGUUGGCGACGAGGCGGUGGAUGUUGGGGGUGGGGGUUUUGAAUUGGUACCCGAAGCGGAACCCGUCGCAGGAGACCACGAGCACGACGGGGCGGCGGAGCUUCGCGAGGGCUCGGGCGCGGGGAGAACCCACAUGGAGUGUUGUGACGUGGUAGUUCGAGGGAGACUCGAAGGGGUUUUUCGGGGUUUGGGGGGAGAAGGAGAAGCAGGAGAAGGAGCGGUAAUCGAGGCGGCGGCGUAAGCAGAAGGAGGAGAGGAGGAGGAGUAGUAGGCGUAGGAGGUAGAGGGGGCUCUANUGGGGAAGGUGAGGGAGGGGAAAACGGGGAUGAGCCCCGUCUCGGCCUCCGUUCCGUUGGCGACGAGGCGGUGGAUGUUGGGGGUGGGGGUUUUGAAUUGGUACCCGAAGCGGAACCCGUCGCAGGAGACCACGAGCACGACGGGGCGGCGGAGCUU